rnacentral:rRNA from 1 species
GACGAACGCUGGCGGCGUGCUUAACACAUGCAAGUCGAGCGAGGGCCAUCCAGUGGCAACACUGGUGAAGCUCUAGCGGCGAACGGGUGAGUAACACGUGAGGAACCUGCCCCAGACUCUGGGAUAACUCGGGGAAACCCGAGCUAAUACCGGAUACCGUCACCUUUGGGCAUCCUUUGGUGACGAAAGUAAUUUUGGUUGGGAGGCCUCGCGGCCUAUCAGCUUGGUGGUGGGUAACGCCUACCAAGGCAACGACGGGUAGCUGGUCUGAGAGGACGAUCAGCCACACUGGGACUGA